UGUUGCACUGAAACCGGAAGUUGUUGGUACAUUACUGCAAUAGAAAUGUCCGCGCUAAUGUAGCUGUAGCCGAAUGAGUGGAUGCUCACCUCUCCAAGAUGACAUAAACUUUUAAUCUCAUAACUCAACUCUGUCUUCCACGUUUUCCCGCCUCUGCUGAUCAGGGCACCAUGGCAACAAGGAUGAAGCUGAAGCUGAAGACAGUGUUUGUGCUCUACUUCAUGGUCUCGCUGCUUGGCCUUGUCUAUGCUCUGAUGCAGCUUGGUCAGCGCUGCGACUGCUCAGAGCACGACUUGCCUAAAGACCGUACCAUAUCACGGCUGCGGGGAGAGCUGCACCGUCUUCAGGAACAAAUGAGGAACUCGGAGGCUACCAAGAAACCACAGAAACCUAUAACUAAUCCCACCAUCUUUGUCAUCACCCCAACAUACGCAAGGCUGGUGCAGAAGGCCGAGCUGACGCGCCUGUCGCAGACCUUCCUCCAUGUUCCUCAGCUGCACUGGAUCGUGGUGGAGGACUCGCCGCACAAGACGCCGCUGGUGUCCGACCUCCUGGUGAAGAGUGGCUUGACCUACACACACCUCCACAUGCCCACCGCCAAGGACCGCAAACUGCAGGAGAAUGACCCCAGCUGGCUGAAGCCUCGUGGAGUGGAGCAGAGGAACGAGGGGCUACGGUGGCUCAGAGAGGACAGAAGGGCUCAACCGGGAGGAGACAACCAGCAGGGAGUGGUCUACUUCGCCGACGACGAUAACACAUACAGCCUGCAGAUAUUUGAAGAGAUGAGGAGUACCGAGCGAGUGUCCGUGUGGCCGGUGGGGCUGGUUGGAGGGAUGAAAUAUGAGAGGCCCGUGAUCGAGGGAGGAAAGGUGGUGCGCUUCCACACCGGCUGGCGUCCCAGUCGUCCCUUCCCGAUGGACAUGGCGGGCUUCGCCGUGUCCCUCAAACUGGUCCUGGCCAAUCCCGAGUCCUGUUUCGACGGAGAAGCACCGAUGGGCUUCCUGGAGAGCAGCUUCCUACAGGGACUGGUCACCAUGGACGAGCUGGAGCCCAAAGCAGACAACUGCUCUAAAGUGUUGGUGUGGCACACUCGGACAGAGAAGCCCAAGAUGAAGAGGGAGGAGGCUCUGCAGGCUCAGGGUUUGGGCUCUGACCGUGCAGUGGAGGUCUGAGGAACACAAAUAAACACACACAAAAACACUCACACUCACACACACACACACACACACACUGUACUCCACUGUAUAAUGCUGCAUAUGUAACUGCGUUGUAAAUACUGUAAAACAGGAACAACUAUCUGUUAGAGGUGUAUUAUCUGUUAUCUUUUUUAUGUCAGAUAGUAAAUGUAUGUGUGUGUGUAUAUAUUGAGUGGGUGUGUGUGUUGUCACAACAGUGUAUGUUACUGUAUGUGUCAGGUUUUAUUUUAUUACAGUGAGUUAGUGUCUUUGUCUAGCAGUCCAGUGGAGGACGAUUCUGGAGGUUGCCUGAUGGGGGCGCCAUUUUUAAAUAUUGCAAAGCCAUGCUGUUACACCACCAGGACAUUUCUCCUCUAAGCUCAUUACAGAGAGCCAUGCUUGCAUCAUUCACUUGUUUACUUGUGUUCAAUGUAAAUCCUGCAGUGUUACUCACUCCUGAUGGUUGUUCUUUAAAUGGCUCUCUUUCCAUUAGCCUCACAUCUUCACUGAUUUCUGACCGGGGCACAGUUGCAAGUUUGCAACGGAGCACUUUAUUCAUGCAUGGCUUCUAUUACGCGUGAUAGGUGUCUGUAAGUCUGUACUCAACCAUAUAGAUGUGUAGUUACAUCCACCAAGGAGGUCAUUUUCUCAGUUGAGUUUGUUUUUUAUACCAAUGUUAUGGAUUCAUUACUGGCCUGACUUCCAUGAAACCUGUGGAAAGGGAUAUAGCGUGGGCAAAGGAAGAACCUAUUCAUUUUAGAGCAGAUUAUUUAUCACUUGUAAACAGACCACAUGAGCAGUCGGAAAGCACAGACUUCUGUUUAGGUCGUUUCCAUUGGAAACAAUUAUAUGUGUUGUAUCCAUUUCAGGGUUUGUAUCUACCUCUAAAAUGUUACGGAAUUACCUUUUUCCUUUGCUAAUGUUUUCACCCUUCUAUCAAGUUUCACAAAAGUUUCCCUGACCCAGAAAAACAAACCAAACUGAAAUCAUAACCUCUUUGGCGGCAGUAAAAACCAUCACCAUCAUAGGCAUGAUAAUAAUCUUUUAUCCAACCUGUCUAAUCAAAAUGCAUUUGCAAUCAAAGUACAGUAAUCGUAUUGUGGAUCAGUGGUGCAUUUCUUUACAGAUAAAUAUGCUAUAAUAAUAGAAAAAUAGUUGUAUGAAUGAUGUUCUCACAUACCUGUGUUACACACAUGAGUGGUGCAACUUAGCAACAGUGUGGUGCAACAACAACACCACCACAUACAGAAUGAUACGGUUCCACACCCGCUGUGGCUUCAGUGUUAAUGCUGGUUUUCACAACAGCUUGUUCUAGCCUGCAUUUUUAUAUGUAUAUUUUUAGUGAUGCUAAAAACGUAGGGCUUGCGGAAUCCAUUUAAGAGCCCUGAAUUAAGGGAUCAACACUACUGAAACUCAUAGAAAUUCCAAUACAGUAUGCAAUAAGCAGGUAGAAAACAUGUCGUCUGUGUUAUAUAAUCGCUGAUGACAAAAAAAGACUUGAAUUUGCCUUUUAUAGGCAGGGAAUCCCUGGUAAUUUACACUAGCUGUGUAAACGCUCUAAAUAUACAUUGAACUUCUCUAUUUUGCUUGAUUAUCUUCCAUUACACCUUCAGAAUUUAGAAGAUCAAAAGAACAUCCCAGCAAAGGAGUGCUGCUCAGCUACUGUUGUAUGAUAGUGUAAAAACAGCUAGUGUCUGCUUUAAUGUAAUUAGUGCCUGUAUGUCAUUUCUCUACUGGUGUAUUAUGUAUUUAUUAUUGUAAGAAUAUUGUUCUACACAUGGUACAAUGUGAUGAUGUCUGUCAUUGACCUUGAAAAUAAACAUUAAUAAUAUAAAAUA